CCGGCCGCCAGCGGCGCUCGCAAAGUUCGGAUCCGCAAGGACCGGGCCAGCGGGACGUCCGCGUGGGUGGGGUGCACUUUCUCCGCGGUCGAGUGCUACGACCGGUUUCGAGGCGGUCAGAAGCCCGGCGGAAAGGUAGCGCCGCCCCUCGGGGUGUCGUGUUAUAGGCCGCCGCGGUGGACUCGCCGCGAGACCGAGGACGCUUGCCGCGCCGAGCGGUCCCGGGCCGUCUUGGGAGGUUCGACCUCGGCUGCACUGCUCCGCAGAGCACCGUAACCGCCGCCCUAGCACGGGUCCGGAGACUGCCGGCGCCUCGGGUCAGUACCG
rnacentral:rRNA from 1 species